rnacentral:lncRNA from 1 species
AUGGCAUAUAUUUUAUUCGUAUUAAGUAUUCUUUUUCUUAUAGGAUUUGUAGGUUUUUCUUCGAAACCAUCUAUUUAUGGAGAUCUAGGGAUGAUUAUUAGUGGUGCUGUGGGUUGUGGUAUUGUGUUGAACUUUGAUGGGGCUUUUGUGGGGUUAAUAGUGUUUUAAAUUUAUUUGGGUGGUAUAAUGGUUGUUUUUUAUUAUACUGCGGCAAUGGCUACUGAGGAAUACCCUGAAACAUGAGGGUCAACUAUUGACAUUUGAGGGGCUUUAUUAUUAGGGUUAUUAAUAGGGUUGGUGUUGAUUCAGUGAAUAGUUGAGCAUGAUGGGAUGGUCAUCACAAUUAAUUUUAAUAGUAUGUGGAGUUGAAUAAUUUUUGAGGGUGAGGGGGUGGGGUUAUUGCAUGAGGAUUCUGUCAGUGUGGCUGCUUUGUAAAGUUAUGGAUGUUGAUUGCUGGUAGUUGCUGGUUGAACAUUGUUUGUU